rnacentral:misc_RNA from 1 species
AGCACUACGAGCUACAGCUUAAAACUCAAAGGACUUGGCGGUGCUCUACACCCACCUAGAGGAGCCGUGUUCUAUAAUCGACACCCCCCGAUUAACCUCACCAUCUCUUGCCACUACAGCCUAUAUACCACCGCCCUCAGUUCACCUCUUAAAAGAACAAUAGUGGACAAAAUAAUUGAAUAAAAAAGUCAGGUCAAGGUGUAGCAAAUGAAAUGGGAAGAAAUGGGCUACAUUUUUUAUUAUAAAACACCGGAAUAUCACAUGAAAUAUGAUAUAAAGGAGGAUUUAAAGUAAAAAGAAAAAAGAGUGUUCUUUUUAAAUUGGCAAUAGAGCACGCACACCCGCCCGUCACCCUCUUCAAGAAUAAUAAUUUAAAUAAGAUAUAUAUUUACAAGAAAAGGUAAGUCGUAACAUGGUAAGUCUACCGGAAGGUGGCCUUGGAUAUCAAAAUAUAGCUUAAAUAAAGCAUUUUGCUUACACCAAAAAAACAUUUGUAAACCCAGAUUAUUUUGAAUUUU